GGAGAGAGCUGCCAUGCUAGCAGGCAGUGCGGAGAUCUAGGCCGGACUGGGGGCACUGUCUGCCCGGGGCCCCGGACCAUGCUGACGGCGGGCUCCAUGCCUGGCACCCCCAGCCUGGCACAGCCUGGCACCGAGCCCUGAGAGACAGCCCGGACUGGGGCAGCGAUGGACCCCUCUGGUACUCUCUGGCAGUUUCUCCUGCAGUUACUGGAGGAAGAGUCUCAUCGGCACCUCAUUUCAUGGACAUCCAACGAUGGCGAAUUCAAACUCCUAGACGCUGAGGAAGUAGCGCGGCUCUGGGGUCUCCGAAAGAAUAAAACUAACAUGAACUACGACAAGCUAAGCCGAGCCCUGAGAUAUUAUUAUGACAAGAACAUUAUUAAGAAAGUGAGCGGGCAGAAAUUUGUGUAUAAAUUUGUCUGUUACCCGGACCCUGGCAGCACUGACACUUCAAAAGACGAGGGAAAAUGUAGAGAGUCUGUGACGGACCUGAGCCCGCUCCCCAAACUUGCCGAAAACUCUGCGUAUGUCCCUAAAAUGGUGAGGAGCAGCUCCAAGACCAGUCGAAACGAGUACAUGCGCUCAGGACUAUAUUCUACCUUUACCAUCCAAUCCCUGCAAGCUCCGCCCAGUGGUCAGUCCAGGACUAGCAAGCUGGAACCACUGCCUCCCAACGAACCUCUCCAAUCCCUGGAAGUCAAGGACCAGAGUGUAGACAUAUCGUCCUACGAGGCCGCAGACCAGAAUGACGGAGCUUUGUCUGUAGAAGUCAACAUCCACAGCUCGGAGGAACUUCAGCUACACGUCACGGUGGAACCCCCAACUCCAGAUAUUAAAGUGGAGGAUACCACGCUGGUUGGCGAAGAGGAAAUUUCCGAGCCUCACAUUUUCCUCACUUCUCUGCCCGAGUUGAAGGUUCCCACCUCAGAGCAGUCACUAACACAGGAGAUUGUGGUACUUAUCGAUUCUGCGGACAAGGACGAUGUUAAAAUGAAGACAGAACCACAUGAAUGGGAAAAGAAAGAGGAAGGCUCCACUCCAGUCACAUCUAUGGAGGGCCAGCCUGUGAAAGGAAAGAAGCCGAAAGACUUGGAGCUUCCAUUCUCUGCUGUGAUUGGCCAGGAGAAGGUGAAUGCCACUGUCAAUUCAUUGCUGGCUCCUGGGAGCGCGUCGUCUGUGAUCACAUCUCAUUCUCUGGUCAGUGAAUCCACAACCCCGCUCCUACUCACCCCGAGUUCUCUGCCUCCUUCAAUACACUUCUGGAGCACCCUCAGUCCGAUUGCUCCCCGAAGUCCCGCCAAGCUCUCCUUCCAGUUUCCCACCAAUGGAAGCAGCCAGAUUCACGUACCAACUCUAAGCGUCGAUGGACUUUCCACCCCGGUUGUCCUUUCCCCUGGACCUCAGAAGCCAUAAGGAGUCCAUAGUGCUGUGACUUUCUUAUUUCUCUCAGAGCACAAGAUGUAAUGUCUUACAGAACACACACACAUCACUUCAACAAUUCCUCAGAAAAAGAGAUUGCAUUGUGUCUACUCUAAGUGUUACAGGAAAAUUGUGUGUUUUGUGCUUUGAUGCCAGUGUGGGCAGUGCCCACAUCAGUGCGCUUUGGUUCCUCGUGUAUCUGCAAAAAGACGCACUUUGUGAUGCCCUCAUUAGAAUUUUGCUUCAGAUCGGUUUGCAGUUUGUCCGACGAGAGCUAAAACAAGCCUUGUUUCUGUGCUGUUUGUGUACUAAAUAACCAGCAGGUUUUCUGAAAUACUCGAGAAUGGUCGAGUUUAGCGACCGCACGUCAUGCAGCUACGAGAUAAGAAGACCAUCAGUGUUCACGACUGUCCGAGGUGUGGCUCAUGUAAAAGUUGGAGCUAUUACAAAGAACUAAAUUCAGCUAAUUUAUAAUAAUUUAUUGGAAAAAAGGAUGAAUGGAGAAGAUGGCAUUAAAGGACAAGCAGAAUUUAUCUUUUAGUGACGACCUGUCACAAAUGGUUUUCAGAUGACCGUGGAACAGUCUGAAUAUCACAUUCCCUCCAGGUGAUCAGAGAUCACCGUUUCCAAAGAACGCCUCAGGAAUGUUCCACAGAUGUCAGACAGGGAGCCCGGGGACACCUCCUGAACACAGACUUGUCAGGGUAUUUUUUUAUUUCCAGGGGUGUGUGUACCCUAGGGCUCUCCCUCCUACUUCCUAAGGCCUUUCUCUUUUAAACACAGGGGCGUCUUGUCCCUGAAAGGGCUUCUGGGAAAACAAGGGAUUUUCCUGCGCAGUGUGCGUGCGGCGUGCUUAGAUUUCGCUGCGUCACAGUCUGCUUUCUCCAGCGUUUACUGACUCAGUUUCCCGUAUCAAACUCUCUCUUUGCUGCUCUGUCAAGCACAACAAUAAGACAUGACACGUAUCCUGUGCUUGGUCUGACACCGUGCUAUCUGCUUCGGGGUCUCGCUCAUCCUCACUUAAUCCCAUGAGAAAAACAAAAUCUAUUUUUUGGAAGGAACGACUUUUUAUUGUGAUGGGUCUGAGCCAGGCCUUGCAUUUCCCAGCUCACAAAUGGUAUUUUUAUAGACAGAAGUCCAAUGGUUUUAGAGGCACAAUAACUAAAUAGAUGCCAGGUGUUAUACAAUAAAUACUGACUGGUAUCUUAUUGAAUGUCUUUACUGACUGCUAUCCUAUCAAAUACUGGAUUUUGGCUCCAUGUUACUAGAUCAGGGUUAUUGACUAAGAUCAGCAGAGCUUGCGUUCAUUGGCGUUCAUUUUGGGGGAGGGGGGUGCAUGGUAAAGUUUUAACGCUUGUAUAACGCUAACUUAUCUCUUGAAACAGCGUUCAUGAAAAGCUGAUAAUCGCCCACGAUCGCAUUUCAUAUGCAGUAACGUGGACCCCAUAGGGUCAGGAAAAAGUUUAGAUUGUGAGCUUUUUGCACAAAAACCUCACACUGCUGUUUUUGGACACAAAUGGAGAGGUUUGGUUUACAAGGAAAUUUGCUGACAAUUAGUUACAAGUGUUUAUAAAAUAUAAAAUAAUGUUUUAUUUAUUUAAGGGUGACACCCACUGCGCUUUCCUUUGAGAUGCCUAAAGACAAGCACACACUGCGUCUGUUCCAUGUGCAAUGCGUUAGGUGAGAUUUGCUGCGUACUUUAAUCUGCUGUUUGUGUGCAGGUUUAGAGAAUGUUUGUUUUGGUGUAUGUACAGAAAGUGCUCGUUGCCCCCUGUGUGCUAAUAUUUUUAUAACAGAGAUAAUCUGAGCGGUGAGUUUGAUCAUGGGGACAGCUGGUCGCCCUAUAAAUCAAGAUUAGACCAAAACAUUCAAAGCAGAGAAAUCACAUUUAUAUUAUAGUGAUGAUAAUACAUUUAUUUUUCUAACUUAAAUCGGGUAAAGAAAACUGGACCUGUUUAGUACUUUGUACCCACUAGAGGGCAGUGCUGUGAAGUGGGUAAUGCGGGUUACUGGCAGAGGAAGGGUUAAUCAUGUGGUUUUUACUUGCUAUGGGUCUGGGAUUAGAAUAUAGUGCAGUGUCUUGGUUUAACCAUUAAGUGGUGAAAUGCUGGGAUUCGUAAAAUGUCAAACUACACCAUUUAGGCAAAAAGUGCCGAUUUGGAAAGAUUCACCAGUUCUGCUGUAUUCACAGCUCGGUGACGUUAUCCUAAAUUUCACAAUUUUGUUUUUAAUUCAGUGUUAAACAAAUUACCCCUCAGUAUGUGUGUCUGUGGGUGCACAAGCAGCUUUUAGGGUAUCCCAAGUUUUCUUAACAAA